AGAUGGCUGAGCAGUCAUGUCUCCCGUCUAAUUUUUACCUUUCCAUGUGGUGCUCUAUCUUAAGAACCUAGAAUAAUCUUUCCUCUUCCACAAUGAUCCCCGAACCUUAUAAGGAGAGGUUGUGGUGUCCAUGCUCCCUUUAAUGGGGAACCUAGCAAAGCUGUCUUCUAAGAGGCUUUAUCCAGCAGCUGAUGGAAACAAAUACAGAGACCCACAGCCAAACAAUAGGUGGACCUCAAAGAGUCUAAUUAAAGAGUUGGGGAAGCAUUGAGGCAGCCAGAAGAAUCAAGAACACCACAAAAAGACCUACAGAGUCAACUAACCUGGGCCCGGAGGGCCUCACAGUGUCUGAAUGACCAACAAAAGAGCAUGUAUGGGCUGAACCUAGGCCCCUUAACACAGAUGUAGCAGAUGAAUAGCUUGUUCUUCAUGCAGGUCCCCGAACAAUUAGAGUGGAGACUCUGUUACCUGCUUAUAGAUCCUGUUCCCCUAACAGGGUUGCCUUACCUAGCUUCAAUGGGAGAGGAUGCCCUUAGUCCUGCUGUGAUUUGAUAUAUCAGGGUGGGUUGGUACCCAUGGGGAAAAGAGAAUGGGGGAAUUUUCUCUGAGGAAAAGGGAAUG